rnacentral:rRNA from 1 species
GAUGAACGCUGGCGGCGUGCCUAAUACAUGCAAGUCGAGCGAACGGACGAGAAGCUUGCUUCUCUGAUGUUAGCGGCGGACGGGUGAGUAACACGUGGAUAACCUACCUAUAAGACUGGGAUAACUUCGGGAAACCGUAGCUAAUACCGGAUAAUAUUUUGAACCGCAUGGUUAAAAAUUGAAAGACGGUCUUGCUGUCACUUAUAGAUGGAUCCGCGCUGCAUUAGCUAGUUGGUAAGGUAACGGCUUACCAAGGCAACGAUGCAUAGCCGACCUGAGAGGGUGAUCGGCCACACUGGAACUGAGACACGGUCCAGACUCCUACGGGAGGCAGCAGUAGGGAAUCUUCCGCAAUGGGCGAAAGCCUGACGGAGCAACGCCGCGUGAGUGAUGAAGGUCUUCGGAUCGUAAAACUCUGUUAUUAGGGAAGAACAUAUGUGUAAGUAACUGUGCACAUCUUGACGGUACCUAAUCAGAAAGCCACGGCUAACUACGUG